CAAAAACAUGUCCCUUGUGGAAUUAAUAUAAGGUUGAGCCCUGCCCAAUGAAAUUUAAAUGGCUGCGGUAUAUUGACCGUGCAAAGGUAGCAUAAUCAUUAGUUUUUUAAUUGAAAACUGGAAUGAAUGGUUUGACGAAAUAUGAUCUGUCUAUUUAUGAUAUAUUGAAUUUUAUUUUUUAGUAAAAAGGCUAAAAUAUUAAUAAGGGACGAGAAGACCCUAUAGAGUUAAAUAUAAGUAAUAAAUUAAGGAGAUUAGGUUAAAUGUARUAUUAAAUUGUUAAUUAUAUUUUAUUGGGGUGAUAAGAAAAUAAUAAGAACUUUUAUUAAUAAUUUACUUUGAUAGUAGAAAUAAUUUAUGAUCUUGUAUUAUGGAUUGUGAGAAAAAAUUACCUUAGGGAUAACAGCGUAAUUUUAUUUGAGAGUUCAAAUUGAUGAUAAAGUUUGCGACCUCGAUGUUGGAUUAAGAUGAUUAUUAGGUGCAGAAGUUUAUAAAUAAGUCUGUUCGACUUUUAAAAUCUUACAUGAUC
rnacentral:rRNA from 1 species